rnacentral:rRNA from 1 species
GUGGGGGAUAUUGCACAAUGGGGGAAACCCUGAUGCAGCGACGCCGCGUGAAGGAAGACGUACUUCGGUAUGUAAACUUCUAUCAGCAGGGAAGAAGAUGACGGUACCUGACUAAGAAGCCCCGGCUAACUACGUGCCAGCAGCCGCGGUAAUACGUAGGGGGCAAGCGUUAUCCGGAUUUACUGGGUGUAAAGGGAGCGUAGACGGUGAAGCAAGUCUGAUGUGAAAACCCGGGGCUCAACUCCGGGAUUGCAUUGGAAACUGUUUUACUUGAGUGCUGGAGGGGCAAGCGGAAGUCCUGGUGUAGCGGUGAAAUGCGUAGAUAUCAGGAAGAACACCGGUGGCGAAGGCGGCUUGCUGGACAGUAACUGACGUUGAGGCUCGAAAGCGUGGGGAGCAAACAGGAUUAGAAACCCGAGUAGUCC